rnacentral:rRNA from 1 species
UACGUAGGGGGCAAGCAUUGUCCGGAAUUAUUGGGCGUAAAGAGCGUGUAGGCGGUCCGGUAAGUCAGCUGUGAAAGUCAAGGGCUCAACCCUUGAAUGCCGGUUGAUACUGUCGGGCUAGAGUCCGGAAGAGGCGAGUGGAAUUCCCGGUGUAGCGGUGAAAUGCGCAGAUAUCGGGAGGAACACCAAUGGCGAAGGCAGCUCGCUGGGACGGUACUGACGCUGAGACGCGAAAGCGUGGGGAGCAAACAGG